GCCUGGCCUGGUGGCCAAACCUGUAGGUCCAGCUGCCCCGGAGGCUGAGCCAAGGAGGAUCACUGGAGCGCAGGAGUUCUGGGCUGGAGAGAGCUAUGCUGGCGGGGUGCGUGGGCCAAGGUCGCCAUCUCUUUGGUUAAUCUCUCAGAAGCGAGAGACCACCAGGUUACCCGAGGAGAGGCGAACCCACCCAGGCCGGAAACUGAGCACGUGAAAAUUCACAGGUGGGCCAGCAGUGGACUUGUGCCUGUGAAUGACCUCCGCCCUCCAUCCUGGGCAACAUAGGGAGACCCGUCUCUA
ensembl:misc_RNA Metazoa_SRP Metazoan signal recognition particle RNA